UACGUAGGGUGCAAGCGUUUGUCCGGAAUUAUUGGGCGUAAAGAGCUCGUAGGUGGCCUGUCGCGUCGGCUGUGAAAACUCGGGGGCUCAACUCCGAGCUUGCAGUCGAUACGGGCAGGCUAGAGUUCGGCAGGGGAGACUGGAAUUCCUGGUGUAGCGGUGAAAUGCGCAGAUAUCAGGAGGAACACCGGUGGCGAAGGCGGGUCUCUGGGCCGAUACUGACACUGAGGAGCGAAAGCGUGGGGAGCGAACAGG
rnacentral:rRNA from 1 species